GUGUGUGUGUGUGUGUGUGUGUGUGUGUGUGUCUUGUCUGGUUCCCUGCUGUGGUUUAACUACUGACGAGUGAAGUUUUCUGUGUUCAGGACCAAAGAGCUUUUAUUUUCAUCUUCCUCUCUCUUCCUCAGCUAAGCUGCCUGUUUCCUUUAGGAUGUCCGUCACACUUUGCUUUCGCAUGUCUGUGCGUUGGUUGUGUGUUUUCGUUUUAGGUCUUGCAGUACCGCAGUCCUUUGGCAUUACUAGCAAUCUAUAUCUAGCUAAAAGGCCUGAUGUCAUAUUUAGUGCUAAGAGAGAAAAUCUAUUUAUUUAAACUAAAAACGAAAUCUCCAAGCCAAUGCCAAAAUCCUGAGACCUUUCUUGUACAGUUUAGCAAAUCCAGUUCACCUGCUAAGACUUUCCCAGUGCCUCUAUAGGAGAUGAUAUGGCCAUGACCCCCUGCCUUCCCUUCCAACCCCAAGCCCCCUUGUCCAGACCAGCGCUCUCCACCCAUACAGCUGGUCUUAGCAGACUAGCCGCAAGGGAAGGAGGGGGUGUGUGUUUGAGACUCUCCCCACAUUUCAGGCAGUCCCUGAUGAGUUUUGAAGCAGCCCACACAAUGUCAAAGGGGUGUUUACUGUCGAGAUUCUCAGGUCUUGUUCUGAGAAGAAUAGCUGCGUGUGUGUGCGUGCACGAGUUUGUGUGUGUGUGUGUGUGUGUGUGUGUGCGUGCACGAGUUUGUGUGUGUGUGUGUGUGACGGGAGUGAGAGCUGCCUCUGAAACACACUUAGUGCACUCAUCUGCCUUAACCGUGUGCUUAAACAAAUAAUCUAUUUCAGAAAAAAAUUAAAACAUGUUCUAGAAUCUAGCCCACUUUCCUGGACCAAUCAGACCCCAGAAGAACAGUUCUCUCUCUCUCUUUCUGCAGCUUUUCUCCCUUCGUUAUGUAGUGUUCCUCUCGUCUGCCUUCUUGGGGACACGUUUAAAAUAUUGAGCCUCACAGAUUUGUCAAAUUUGUUUGAUAAAGAAGGAUAUAAGAGCUUUCUUUUUUUUUUUUGGUUCUUUUCAAAGUCUAUAUAUGUAUAAGUGCACCUAUAUUGAUGUGUAUACUUGUUGAGUAUAUUUAUUUGAAGAGAGAAAUAAAAAAAUCUGAUUGUCUGACUGGGUAACUUAG
ensembl:lncRNA